UUAAGACUAAUUGUAAUGUCACCGCUCAAAUCAGCGAACUCAGCUUAAAGGCUGAUUCAGUAUUAUAAGAAAUAUAAAAGUAAAAUACUGCGUAUGCUUGAAAUCUUAAAUGAAAAGGUACUAAAAAAAAACUUAGUAUGACUGGCGGCAGCUGUGGAGAGAGGAACAGAGUUGAAGCUUCGAGUCCAGCAUUAUUCUUUUUCAAGUACUGUAGUAACCGUGAGGAGUCUCUUCACUAAUUUGGGAGCAAUGAUCGCACCAGACUGGGCUGUGCAGGAAAAUAUAAGAGGACAGAUUCCAGCUCGAGUCACCGGGCCAGGGCUGAACCUAAAUGUUUCGAGGGAAAAAAAGGGGGAGAAGCUGUGGGUGAAUCCGUUCCCGUUGUCCAAACUCAAACACAGGAGACAACCGGGAGGAAAUUUCACAUUCAAAUCCCAGCCCCUUCACAACAACUUAAACAAAUCAAAGAAAGAAACCGACCUGCCGUACCCCACCACGUUAGUGAAUCAUUAUCUCAUCACUCCACUGUAGAA